CCGGAUGUUUGUGCACGCCGUUUGCGUGAGAGUUUUCUGCGUUCUUUGUGUGCUUCGGUGUGACUUCUUUGGGAUAUUUCUGCGUGUUUCUCGCUUUUUAUGGGCUUGGUGCCUAGAAGGUCGCCAUGAUCGCCUCCGACUCAGCAACAUCAAAAAUUCAAAAUGAGCUGGGAGACAUGCUAAAGGUUCACAUAGGUUGGAGGAGUGCACAUUGAGAAGGUUAUCCUGGCACAGCUUACCAUGGCCUGCCUUGGUGGACCAGGAAAGUUUGCAAGGACCUUGCUUCACCAUAUGUUCACAGAGGAGGAGCCCACGGGCCAUUUGCACUUUGGAAAUAACACCAAGGGGCAAAAGAGGCUCUUGACCCCACCAGGGUCAGCGCUGUUAUAGGCAAGUACCAUGUAUCCUUUCCGGUUGCAUUAAUACAUUCACAUUUUUUUCUAAAAUUAACAACUUGCCAUUGGCAUAACAAACGACUUUCACGUAGCCCAUGUGUGCAGUUGUGUGCUACAAUAGGCUACCAUUUGGAGUGACUGCUCAUAUGACCUUAAGUGCCUAAUGCCACCACACUCAAAUGCUUCUAAAAUUUAAAAGUUGCCUUCAUUGCCAGAAGUUUGUGGCGGCUCCACCAGAAGAAAUGAGGCUGCAUUUGCGCAUUAGCAGUGCUACUUGGCUGUAAUUGCAAUGCAUAGUUGUCUGUGAAGCACGCUCAAAAUCUAGUGGCAUGGAGGACAUGUUUAAGUAGCCUGAAAGUGUUAUUCUAAUACACGAAUUACGGAGAAGCUAUGCUCAAGUGUGGUUACUGUUCAGCUCGAGGAGCAGCAUUUUCACUAAAUUUCAGGAAUCAAAAGAGAGCUCCAGGUUCUGGCAUGUGAAACAGUAGUUUCACCAAUUUUAACAGACCACAUUGAAUUUAAGUUGCUCCUAUCUUGAAGGAGGUCGAUGUGAUGCCAGACAGCAGGCUUUCAGCAGAAGAAACACGAGUUGUGUGGCAAUUUUGUUCGGGUUGUUUCAAUCAAAGAAACAGGGACAUAGUUGCCAGCAUCACUGUCAACAGUACUAUGUUUAGUGGACGCUUACUCAUUCUAAGCACCUAACCUACGACUUGUAUUUAUUAACAUGCACUUUAUCACUUUGUAUUCUAAGAUAUGAAAAAAAAAUAUUUAUGUGGCUUUUCUCUAUAUACUUCAAUAAAUUGAGAAUAGGCCCUUGGCAACUACUUUGUAAAGCUUGUUGCAGACCAUCGGACAUGUCCACUACUCCCAUUCUGAAAUUGUUGGAAUUGUUUCCUGCUUCCUUACUUCACUUGUAUGUCCUGUUUACAGGGUUGUUAUGAACCACUGCUAAGUAGAUUAUGGGCUUAAAUUUAUCAAAAGGAUGAAUAGGCUUUCCCGUCGCUCUUGUUUAGCCCGUUGAGGAUCACAUUUUGGGGAUCCUCCUUUCUUCAUGGUGUUUUUCUUGACUUUUCUAAGGCUUUCCACAAAGUACUUCAUCAACUACUUCUACUAAAAGUCAGCACUUUGAAAAUUGACCCAAACAUCCUCAAAUGGAUCGAAUGUUUUUUAUCUAACCGAACCCAAUAUGUUAUCGCUAACAAUCACGCUUCCUCUCCUUGUCCUGUUGAAUCUGGCGUCCCUCAAGGUUCCGUUUUAAGUCCACUUCUAUUCCUGAUCUACAUAAAUGAUCUUCCAGAUAACAUUAACUCUAGUAUAAAGCUACUUGCAGACGACUGUGUUAUCUAUCGCGAAAUAAAUAGCCAUAAUGAUGCACUUGUCCUUCAAUCUGACCUAAAUAAAGUAUCUGAAUGGUGCAAUAAAUGGUUGAAGACCCUUAACCUCAGUAAAUGCAAGUACCUGGAAUUCUCGCGAAGCACGAAUGCCUCAAUGUCUUUAGAAUACAGAAUUCAUGGCGUCAGACUGGAGCGCGUGUCUGCGUACAAGUAUCUCGGUGUCUACAUACCUGAUGACUUGUCAUGGCAUACUCACAUUGACUACAUCAUAGGUAAUGCAAAUUGCACUCUCGGUUAUUUCCAACGCAAUUUUUUCCAAGCUCCAGAGCACCUAAAAUUAAUGCUUUAUCAAACUUUCGUAUGUCCAAAACUCGAAUACGCGUGUGCAGUUUGGGAUCCGGCACACCGCACUCUCAUUCAAUCCAUAGAAUCCCUUCAGAAUCGAUCAUCUCGUUUUAUUAUGUUGAACUGUUCACGUACCGCUAGUGUUUCGCAGAUGAAAUCGUCACUUACCCUUCCUAACCUUCAAACUCGGCGCAACAUCUCGCGCCUUUGUUUAUUCCACAAAGUGUUCCAUCACCGUUCAUUGAAUCAGCAACCCAUUUCGCAGCCAGUGUACUUAUCCUCCCGUAUCGAUCACAACAAUAAGGUAGCUGUUCCUCUUUGUCGCACUGACAAGUUCUGCUUUCUUUUAUGCCGAAAACCUGCUCUGAGUGAAACCGCCUUCCCUCUUCUAUCGCCACCUUAGCCGAUGCGUCAUCAUUCAAGACCGCUGUGACAGAUCAUCUUUUAAUAUGACUCGAAUUUUGCUGUUUUUUUAUUUUUGCUUUUAUUUUGCUGCCCUUACUGUCUAUUUUAUCCUUGUCCUUAUAGGCUUGAAUGCUUUUUGUUUGUAAACCAUGUACCCACCCCCUCUGUAAUGCCCAUUGGGCCCUGAGGGUAUGAUGAUAAAUAAAUAAAUAAAUAAAUAUGCCUCUCCAAUUUAGGAGUUAUAUUUUUUAAUGGUGUGCAAAUACUCAAAACUUUCGAAUUGAAUAGUGUCCUAUUCAAUUAGGUCUUUGAAUGGUCACUAUUUGUAAAUGUGAACAUUAUUCUAAUAUUUCAAAACACCAAUAAAACAUAAAAUUUUAGCCAAAGUAUGGUAAACUUUCACCUCCAAUAACAUAGUGUAGACAUAAAGCGUGUGAACUUGUACGAAUAGCAGACCGGGCUAUGUUACUUAAGUAGCUGCACUUUAGAGGCUGUACAGCAAUCAUUUAUGCCUACUGAGGAGUCCUGUGCAUGUGAAGAAACCUUGCUGCUCGAUUUGUGCUUUUAAUAAACAGCUCUUCAUAACAUAGUAUGCAAUGACAGAAACUUGCCAACGUUAAGAAUACUAGGAUGUGAACAUCAUUUUACAUUAAUUGUGAUAUCAGCUGUUCAUUAUUCAGAAGCUAUCUAAUAUUCGAUUUGCUUCUGGCAUUAUUCGGUUCGGUCUCAAAAAUCACUAUUCGCGCAUCCGGAAUAUUUUUGUUGCAGAUUUAAGUUCUUCAGAGUGUCUUUCCGAGAAAAAGAACUGGUAAAUAAUUUUUUAAUGUGCCAAUAAAGCGGCAAAACCCUUUCAGUAUUUGCAGUUUUACAUGUUUUAUUUUUCUAUGCAGGAUAAAGCAGCAUAAUUCUUUUGUGUAAUGAAACUUGCAAAAACUUGUUUUAUAGUAAACUAGGUGAAGUGGCAACACUCCUAAACUACUGCAAUGACAGACACCAAGGAGCUAAGUGAAAAAUCAGUUUUGGAGAAACCCAAGGGGCGACAGCAUGAUGAGAAUAUUUUCUAGAAGUCUCGGAAGGUUGCAGCACCUCCAGUGGGAUGCUAGGCAACACUUUGUUCUGAAAAAGAACAUUUUUUCAAAAUGUUCCGUCACAGCCACAGAUGUAUGGUAGUGAACUCAAAAGGGUUAAAGAAGUCAGUCCUCUGGCGUAUGGCUCUUAGAAGAGUGAGCAUUUCUUUGAAUCUGUCGCAUUCUACAUGUGUCAGGCUACGCAGCUUGGUGCACAACUACACAGAAUCCUCAUUAUAACAGUCAUUCAGUCGUUGAGGCAGAAAACACACUUCGGUGCCUCAUAAUCAGAAAGUGGUUUUGGCACGUAAAACCCCAUAAUCAAAACACACUUCGCUGUAAGCAGUAUUUUCUUUAAUGUAGAAAGUCCUAAGUCAUUGUGAGGUGAGAAGUACAUUCCAAUUGCAUGUGAACUCAUGAAACCUAACUUCAAUUGAAGCCACGCUCAAUUCUAGUGACAUGACAGUAUUGUAUAUGGAGCUUGGAAAAAGCAGUGAAGUGCUGCACAUUUUAAGUAUGAGUUACAAGAAAUAAUUUUAGUUGUCAGUAGUUUAGAUUUAUUUAUGAAUGACACGAAAUUUUUUUUCGCCAUUUUGUUGCUAAGCAAGCAAAGUUCACAUCUUCGACAUUGAGGAUAUUCAUAAAGUUAUUUUGCUACAGUGUUUUGUUCCUCAUUGCCCUUUCCUGCAUUUGACACUUAGUGGAGUCCUGUGCCACAUUGAAUAAAUUUAAAUGGUCAUGCUGUGAAGCUGUACCCGUGGAAAGUUGGAAUAAAGCAAGACAAACACAUAAAUUGAUUUCAUUAUAAUGAGGGCAUAUUGCAUGCCCCACUCUUGCAUGUGGAAGUUGCUUUUUAAAACUUGUUCUGGCUUUUUGUUGUUUUUGCAGGCUUCACGUGUCGCAAUUUUCCUGGUACCAACAUGCCCUAUGUAAAGAACUCUGGCCUCGCUUCUCGCAUGGGACCAAUAGCCUUUGAAGAGCCAAACUUGGACAGCUCAAACCAAAACACAAGUGUUGUGCUUUUGUAACUCGGCAUUUUUAAGUUCGUUUGUUUAUGUUAGUCUCCUGAAGAGCCCAAUUCGGAUUUCUCAAACGAGCAUACAAAUGUUGUGCCUUUCUAUGCCUUGACAUUUGUGUGGUAAUUUUAUUUAUGCUAAUAAUGCUAGUCUCCUGAGAAGCUCACGUUGGAUUGCUCAAUCCAGAAUACAAGUACUGGGCUUUUAUAUUUCACCACAUUCUUAUGUUAGUUUUUGAUAUAGUUCCAGCAAGGAUGGAGUUUCCUUAUUAUUAUAUUUUUGAAGUAUCUUCAGUCAUUUCAUGCCAAACCACCCAAUUUUGUCAAGAACUCUUCCAUUAUGGCAAACCAUUUCAAGUUUGCUUGAUAUUCAAAAGUAGGUACAAUGCGAAAAUUUUUGAAAAAAUUUGCUUUCAUACAUACACCUGAGUCAUUCCAGGGCAACCAACCAGCGUGUUUUUGACCAUCACAGAUAUAGUUGAAAAAAUUUAGAUAUGUUUGUUGAAGCUCCGAAUUCUUCCUCCCCAUUUAUUUUGCUUCGCAAAAAUUGUCUAGAAGUUUGGCAAAAUUUGAUUGUUCUUGCCCAGCUAAGCUAGAAGGCACUGAUACACGUUUCUUUUGAAAGGGAAAUUGUAUGAUCCAGAUAUUCAGAUGGUGUUCAUGUCAAGAGACUGAAGUGGUGUGUCUGCCAAAAUUUGCAAAGUUUGAAUUUGUUUCUUCGCAUGCAGGGAAAUAUAGAAGGCACAAAAUAAAUAUAGAAUCAGCCUAGUUGACUUGGGAUAGCUGCAAUAUAUUUCAAGCCUUGGAGGUUAAGUGGAUCACCUAAAAAAACUGUAAAGUUUAGAUUUUUUGCAAAAAGCUUCAUGUCGAACGUGUUGAACAUGUUGAACAAAUUAGCUUUAGUGGCUGGCGCGAAAGUAUACAUCACCCAUCAUUACAUAGCCCUACAUGUCUGCUAUGCAUGUAGGGCUGGCUAUGCAUGCUAUACACCACUUCUCUGUCAUCUGGGUUGCAGACAAAGCCAGCUUUGUCGUCUGCAUUCCCAGUCGGCAAGCUUGUGCGCACAUCCGAGAAAAGUCGGUGCUGACAAAAAUUCAAAAGAGAAUUUUUCGCAUUUCAAAAUAAUGCCUUUUUCAACCUCACACAUGCAUAGCAGACAUGUAGAGCUAUCCAAUAAUGUAUCACAUAUUGUUUUGGCCAACUACCAAAGCUAUUUUUACCUUGGACAUGAAGCUUCUUGCAAAAGAUUAGAAUUUUAUAGUUUCUUUACAGGCAAUCAGCUGAACCUUCAGAGCUUCAAAUAUUUUUCUGCUAUGCUAUGUCACCUGGGCUACCAUUUUUGUAUUUAAUUUCCGUCCUUUGAAUUUUUCGUUACAAAAAAAAUUUACGUAUUGCAAUUUUACUCAUUUUGCCGGUGCCAAAAGCACUUGAAGUAUUAAAAUAUUUGAAAAAUUAGCUAUUUUGCCUGUUGCAUCACUUCACCGUAUUCCAUGCACGCCAUUUGAAGGCCUCGAUCAAUACAAUGUGCAUUUGAAAAAGAAUGUUGAUUGAUGUCCUCUAGCUCAGCUGAGCAGAAAAACUAAACUCACCAAAAUGCUACAAAAUAUCUGGCAAAAAUAAAUAAAAGUGGGUAAGGAGUUUUGAGCUCUAGUAAACAUAUGGCAAUGUUUUCAGCUAUAUCUGUGCUGUCGAAAAAAUGCUGGUCGAUGCGGCAUGGAAUCUCGCACCUGCAAGUGCAUCUGUGCCAUUGUCAGAGUUCAGUAAAAACUGCACAUUAUAUAACUUUGAAAAAAUAGUUUAUUGCUAUCUAAAAUAUCGGAGUAAAAAUUAAUAGGUAUAAGUCGGCUUAAAUUUAAAAUGCAACAAAAUAUCUCCGGUAAUGGCAAUGAUAUGCCUUCAUGUUUGCAUGAAACCAGAUUUUCUUGUGAAUUUCAUUAUUUUUUUGUGGCAGUGAACAAAAUUGAAAUAGAACUCACACAAGGAGUAACUUUGUAGUAUUCCAACUCAUCACUAAUAGCUGUUUUUUUUUUUCAUAUAAAAAUCUGAAAGUCAAGAUGAGUAAGUCACUUGCUAUGGAAUGACCUGUGCAGGAACGUUAUCGUGGCAGAAAACACAAUUGGAUCAUGCAACAGCAAUGCAGCAUAAUAAACUGCUCCCAUAAGCAUCACUUAUUGCGAUUGCCAUGUUUCGAAAGUAGAUAAGGUUUACUGAAAUUGGCAGACACCAUUCAACCAGCAAAUCAGGAUUUUGCAGAGUGAUCCUUUUUCAGUGUUACAGAUUUUUUUUAAGUUGCCUGUGCCAGGUAGCAAAUUCUUGUUCUUGAGCUGGAAUAUUCAGAGGUGGACAUUACUAUCAUGAGAAAUAGAAACACAUUCAAGUGAUUCUCACUGAUUAAUUCACUUAUAACAUCACGGCACAUAUUUCAGUUUGCAAAUUGUAGCCAGUGAGUUUUAAAAGACGUAUUCACUUGAUAUUAAUUUCCAGGAUGACACCAGUUUUGAGGUUUUUCCAUAAAUGUGAGAGAAAUACAUGGGCAUUCGAGUUAAUUUUGUGCUUCAAUGCAUAACAGUGCAUUUCUACAGCCAGUUUGAUGGCAUGUGUCUCGUUACUGGUGUCAUUCUGGAAAUUUAUUCUAAGUGCAUACACCUUGUAAAAUUACCGGCUACAAUUCGUAAAAAAUUUAUUAGGAACUGAGUUUUUGUUAAUUAGCUGAAUAUGGUGUCUCGAUUUCUCAUGCAAGUAAUGUUUGGCACUCUGUAUCUAGAAUUAUGUUAGCUGCAACAGCCAGUCUUUAAUACAUUUCAUGAAACAAAGAUAACCACCCUUCAUAUCAGGUCUCAGUGAUUGCUGUGGGCUCAAGCGAAUCAUGCCAUGGUUAUAGUACCACUGGCUACCUAAUAGAGAAAGCAAGUACCUUUUUUGAGUGUUCUUAUUUAGUCAUGUCAGUCUGCUUGUACAUUUACUUCUUUAGGUAUUUAUUUUUUAAGAUUUCUUUCUUUUGGGAAAUGUUUUACUUGAGGACCACACAGACUACAUCUGUCAGUAUUCAAUUUUGUUAUGGUGUCAAGCUGCAGGAAGUUUGUACUUUGCAAUACUUCUUAAGAAGUUUCUGAUGUUCUCAAUCUACAAAUGGUUGUACAUUUACACAGAUGUUUGGUUACAAAUAAACAGUUUACCUAGAAAAA